rnacentral:rRNA from 1 species
ACGAACGCUGGCGGCGUGCUUAACACAUGCAAGUCGAACGGAAAGGCCCUGCUUUUGUGGGGUGCUCGAGUGGCGAACGGGUGAGUAACACGUGAGUAACCUGCCCUUGACUUUGGGAUAACUUCAGGAAACUGGGGCUAAUACCGGAUAGGAGCUCCUGCUGCAUGGUGGGGGUUGGAAAGUUUCGGCGGUUGGGGAUGGACUCGCGGCUUAUCAGCUUGUUGGUGGGGUAGUGGCUUACCAAGGCUUUGACGGGUAGCCGGCCUGAGAGGGUGACCGGCCACAUUGGGACUGAGAUACGGCCCAGACUCCUACGGGAGGCAGCAGUGGGGAAUAUUGCACAAUGGGCGGAAGCCUGAUGCAGCAACGCCGCGUGCGGGAUUACGGCCUUCGGGUUGUAAACCGCUUUCGCCUGUGACGAAGCGUGAGUGACGGUAAUGGGUAAAGAAGCACCGGCUAACUACGUG